CAGCCGCCGCGGUAAUACGUAGGUCCCGAGCGUUGUCCGGAUUUAUUGGGCGUAAAGCGCGCGCAGGCGGAUCAGUCAGUCUGUCUUAAAAGUUCGGGGCUUAACCCCGUGGUGGGAUGGAAACUGCUGAUCUAGAGUAUCGGAGAGGAAAGUGGAAUUCCUAGUGUAGCGGUGAAAUGCGUAGAUAUUAGGAAGAACACCAGUGGCGAAGGCGACUUUCUGGACGAAAACUGACGCUGAGGCGCGAAAGCCAGGGGAGCGAACGGGAUUAGAUACCCCAGUAGUCCCUGUCUCUUAUACA
rnacentral:rRNA from 1 species